rnacentral:lncRNA from 1 species
GGGCUCUGCUGUUGACCUCCAAUGCAGGAGAAAAGCAAGCUGCCAGGAGCUGUUGUGUAUGUUUGCCCUCCUAUCCUGCUAAUGCAUAUUGGUAAAAGAAAAAGAUUGCAUAAGCUUGUAGCAUCUGAAUCUGCAUCUCUUUCCACAGAAGCUACUGAUAACGGUGUUAACCCCAUAUAAGUGCUAUGUAUCAGCCAGCUGCGCAGGGAUGCAUCUGUAUAUUUUGGAGAGCUGGAAGAAUUCUGUUAUUCCAUUUUGCAGGAUGGAAAAUGGAAGGAACAAGGGACUUGACCAGGAUCAAAUAAAUUACAUCUGUAC